GGAUCUGUCCAUUGGUCGGGCCUCACGGUCCGUACUGGUGUGAUGGGUUCCUACCUUCUGAAUAACCAGCAUGCCAUUCAGUUGGUGCGCUGGGGAAGCAGAGCUAUUACCUUGAAAAAUUAGAGUGCUUAAAGCAGGCUAGUGCUUGAAUAGAUUAGCAUGGAAUAAUAAAAUAGGACGGCUUGGUUCUAUUUUGUUGGUUUCUAGGAUCACCGUAAUG
rnacentral:rRNA from 1 species